GACGAACGCUGGCGGCGUGCUUAACACAUGCAAGUCGAACGGAAAGGCCCUGCUUUUGUGGGGUGCUCGAGUGGCGAACGGGUGAGUAACACGUGAGUAACCUGCCCUUGACUUUGGGAUAACUUCAGGAAACUGGGGCUAAUACCGGAUAGGAUCUCCUGCUGCAUGGUGGGGGUUGGAAAGUUUCGGCGGUUGGGGAUGGACUCGCGGCUUAUCAGCUUGUUGGUGGGGUAGUGGCUUACCAAGGCUUUGACGGGUAGCCGGCCUGAGAGGGUGAACGGCCACAUUGGGACUGAGAUACGGCCCAGACUCCUACGGGAGGCAGCAGUGGGGAAUCUUGCACAAUGGGCGGAAGCCUGAUGCAGAAACGCCGCGUGCGGGAUGACGGCCUUCGGGUUGUAAACCGAUUUCGCCUGUGACGAAGCGUGAGUGACGGUAAUGGGUAAAGAAGCACCGGCUAACUACGUG
rnacentral:rRNA from 1 species